GUAUUGCUGAGGAGUCCCACAAUAGGACAAAACGCAUGUCCAGUGC
rnacentral:hammerhead_ribozyme from 1 species